rnacentral:rRNA from 3 species
UACGGAGGGUGCAAGCGUUAUCCGGAAUCAUUGGGUUUAAAGGGUCCGCAGGCGGUCUUAUAAGUCAGUGGUGAAAGCCUACAGCUCAACUGUAGAACUGCCAUUGAUACUGUAAGACUUGAAUUCGAUCGAAGUGGGCGGAAUAUGACAUGUAGCGGUGAAAUGCUUAGAUAUGUCAUAGAACACCGAUAGCGAAGGCAGCUCACUAGGUCUGGAUUGACGCUCAGGGACGAAAGCGUGGGGAGCAAACAGG